CAACAGCCACACCCCUCCUCGGGAGAAUCCCCUAGUGCACAGCUCCUCACCAUGGACCUCACCUGGAGCAUCCUUUUCUUGGUGGCAGCAGCAACAUGUGCCCACUCCCAGGUGCAGCUGGUGCAGUCUGGGCCUGAGGUGAAGCAGCCUGGGGCCUCAGUGAAGGUCUCCUGCAAGGCUUCUGGUUACAGCUUCACCACCUAUGGUAUGAAUUGGGUGCGACAGGCCCCUGGACAGGGCCUUGAGUGGAUGGGAUGGAUGAACACCUACACUGGGAACCCAACGUAUGCCCAGGGCUUCACAGAACGGUUUGUCUUCUCCAUGGACACCUCUGUCAGCACAGUGUACCUGCAGAUCAGCAGCCUAAAGGCUGAGGACACAGCCAUGUAUUACUGUGCGAGAUACACAGUGUGGAAACUCACAUCCUGAGAGUGUGAGAAACCCUGAGGAAGGAGAAAGCUGUGCUGAGCUGAGGCAGUGGUGCAGCAGUUUUCUAAACUUCCGUAUGAUCUCAUUUUGCAUUGACUUCCACUUUUAUAUUAGCCAAGAAUGUGGGAUAGACGGAUGCUCCUAAGAGAUCCUUAACUUGCCCAUUUUGAUAGGAUUUCCAGAAGAUGCGAAAAGCCACUUUGUUAACAAAGCCUCCCAAAGCCAUGCCCUGCUCCAGACACAUAAGUGCCCAUUUCCUGGUCUUUAACUGACAAGCUCUCAUCAGAGCACCUGGGCUAAUUCCACAUCAGGUAGAGGAAUGUGUUCUAAAGGAAAGCUAAAGUUGCAAUAGCAAUUCCUGCUUCAUAACCUUCAGCUUCAUUGUUUUUGUGUGAUCCAUCAACGAAUUACGUUAGAUCAAGGUUCUCAAAGGGAAUUUCUAAUAAAUAUAAGGGAUGUAUAGAAGUUCCCCUAAUUAAAACAAUUGUCAACACAAUCAUGAUAUUCAGUUAUAUCUCCACCCUUCCCACCAUUCACCACAAAGUAAUUCUCACUUCUGGAAGCUGGGUUCAUUUUCAAAUUAGUUUGUUUUUUCAUUUUAAUAUCUCAAGAUUAUUGUAUGUGACUAUUUUGGCAGAAAUUGAAUUUUGGGAACUUGAACUAACCAACUGAAAAUAAAUUCACAACUAAAUAACAAGAUGCCAGAAUA